AAUAGAUACCCGGGUAGUCCACGCCGUAAACGAUGGAUACUAGGUGUCCGGAUGUUUAACCGUCUGGGUACCAAAGCUAACGCAUUAAGUAUCCCGCCUGGGGAGUACGGUCGCAAGGCUAAAACUCAAAGGAAUUGACGGGGGCCCGCACAAGCGGUGGAGUAUGUGGUUUAAUUCGAAGCAACGCGCAGAACCUUACCUGGGCUUAACAUUUAUCGACAACCCCCAGAGAUGGGGCUUCCACUUCGGUGGCGGUAGGAUAGGUGCUGCAUGGCUGUCGUCAGCUCGUGUCGUAAGAUGUUCGGUUAAGUCCGGCAACGAGCGCAACCCCUGUCCUUAGUUACCAGCAUUAAGUUGGGGACUCUAGGGAGACUGCCGGUGUUAAACCGGAGGAAGGCGGGGAUGACGUCAAGUCCUCAUGGCCCUUAUGUCCAGGGCUACACACGUACUACAAUGGCAGAAACAGAGGGCAGCAAAACCGCGAGGUUGAGCUAAUCCCAAAAACACUGUCCCAGUCCGGAUUGGAGUCUGCAACUCGACUCCAUGAAGUUGGAAUCGCUAGUAA
rnacentral:rRNA from 1 species